CAGUAGCCGCGGUAAUACGGAGGGUGCAAGCGUUAAUCGGAAUUACUGGGCGUAAAGCGCACGCAGGCGGUCUGUCAAGUCAGAUGUGAAAUCCCCGGGCUUAACCUGGGAACUGCAUUUGAAACUGGCAGGCUAGAGUCUUGUAGAGGGGGGUAGAAUUCCAGGUGUAGCGGUGAAAUGCGUAGAGAUCUGGAGGAAUACCGGUGGCGAAGGCGGCCCCCUGGACAAAGACUGACGCUCAGGUGCAAAAGCGUGGGGAGCAAACAGGAUUAGAUACCCGUGUAGUCCCUGUCUCUUAUAC
rnacentral:rRNA from 1 species